AGAGUUUGAUCCUGGCUCAGGACGAACGCUGGUGGCGUGCCUAACACAUGCAAGUCGAACGGAACUUUUUUAAAAGAUUUCUUCGGAAUGAUUUUGAUUAAGUUUAGUGGCGGACGGGUGAGUAACGCGUGAGUAACCUGCCUCUAAGAGGGGAAUAACAUUCUGAAAAGAAUGCUAAUACCGCAUAACAUAUAUUUAUCGCAUGGUAGAUAUAUCAAAGAUUUAUCGCUUAGAGAUGGACUCGCGUCCGAUUAGUUAGUUGGUGAGGUAACGGCUCACCAAGACUGCGAUCGGUAGCCGGACUGAGAGGUUGAACGGCCACAUUGGGACUGAGACACGGCCCAGACUCCUACGGGAGGCAGCAGUGGGGGAUAUUGCGCAAUGGGGGAAACCCUGACGCAGCAACGCCGCGUGAAGGAUGAAGGUCUUCGGAUUGUAAACUUCUUUUAUUAAGGACGAAGAAAGUGACGGUACUUAAUGAAUAAGCUCCGGCUAACUACGUGCCAGCAGCCGCGGUAAUACGUAGGGAGCAAGCGUUGUCCGGAUUUACUGGGUGUAAAGGGUGCGUAGGCGGCUUUGCAAGUCAGAUGUGAAAUCUAUGGGCUCAACCCAUAGCCUGCAUUUGAAACUGCAGAGCUUGAGUGAAGUAGAGGCAGGCGGAAUUCCCCGUGUAGCGGUGAAAUGCGUAGAGAUGGGGAGGAACACCAGUGGCGAAGGCGGCCUGCUGGGCUUUAACUGACGCUGAGGCACGAAAUUUG
rnacentral:rRNA from 1 species